ACGCGUAUGCAACUUGCCCUUAUCAGGAGGAUAGCCCGGGGAAACUCGGAUUAAUACUCCAUAAGAUUUUGAUUGGCAUCGAUUAAAAUUGAAAGAUUUAUUGGAUAAGGAUAGGCAUGCGUCAGAUUAGUUAGUUGGUAGUGUAACGGACUACCAAGGCGAUGAUCUGUAGGGGGCCUGAGAGGGUGAACCCCCACACUGGUACUGAGACACGGACCAGACUCCUACGGGAGGCAGCAGUGAGGAAUAUUGGACAAUGGAGGGAACUCUGAUCCAGCCAUCCCGCGUGCAGGAAGACGGCCCUAUGGGUUGUAAACUGCUUUUGUAUGGGGAUAAAUCUACCUACGUGUAGGUAGUUGAAGGUACCAUACGAAUAAGCAUCGGCUAACUCCGUGCCAGCAGCCGCGGUAAUACGGAGGAUGCAAGCGUUAUCCGGAUUCAUUGGGUUUAAAGGGUCCGUAGGCGGGCUGAUAAGUCAGUGGUGAAAUUUUGUCGCUCAACGAUAAAACUGCCAUUGAUACUGUUAGUCUUGAGUGAUAUUGAAGUAGCUGGAAUGUGUAGUGUAGCGGUGAAAUGCAUAGAUAUUACACAGAACACCGAUUGCGAAGGCAGGUUACUAAGUAUUAACUGACGCUGAAGGACGAAAGCGUGGGGAGCGAACAGGAUUAGAUACCCUGGUAGUCCACGCAGUAAACGAUGCUAACUCGUUUUCGGGGAGUGAUCUUCG
rnacentral:rRNA from 1 species